rnacentral:rRNA from 1 species
GAUGAACGCUGGCGGCGUGCCUCAAACAUGCAAGUCGAGCGGGGCUAUGUAAUACCGCAAGGUAGAACAUAGCCUAGCGGCGAACGGGUGAGUAACACGUGGGUAACCUGCCUGGAAGACAGGGAUAACGAUUCGAAAGGGUCGCUAAUACCUGAUAAUAUCCUUUCAUCGCAUGGUGAUAGGAAGAAAGGGGAAACCCGCUUUCAGAUGGGCCCGCGUCCCAUCAGCUAGUUGGUAAGGUAAAGGCUUACCAAGGCGACGACGGGUAGCCGGUCUGAGAGGAUGUACGGCCACACUGGGACUGAGAUACGGCCCAGACUCCUACGGGAGGCAGCAGUUGGGAAUUUUGGACAAUGGGCGGAAGCCUGAUCCAGCCAUGCCGCGUGAGUGAAGAAGGCCUUCGGUUGUAAGACGUCUUUCGGUCCGGGAACGGAAAGUACGCAUGGGUCGAAUAACCCUCGUGUGGAGUGACGGUACCGGAAGUAAGAAGACACCGGCUAACUACGUGCCAGCAGCCGCGGU